UGACCAGCUUCCCUGCUGCCCAAGGGCCUGUCCUUGUCUUACUGUCUUCAAGAUUGGAUGCCCAAGGGUUUAUGAGAUGGCAAAUCUACAUCCGCUUUGGGGGGAGGAACCUCCUCUUCAGUGACUCUGACAAGUCGUUAUUGGUGAUUUUAUGAACUCGUCUAGUAAGCGGGAAUCUGUACAGGGAACUGUUCUCAUUUUCCAUUGCUGGAAUUGGUUUUUAAAAAUGAGAGUUGCAGCCAUCUGGUACUCUGAAGUCUUACCCGGGAUAGUAAUUAUUUAAAAUAAUAAUAACAACAUGAGAACCAAUAAACUGAGCAUUUACCGUGUGCCAGAUGAGAAAACUGAAGCUCUGGAGAAGUCCAGGAACUUGACCAGGAGAUGACUAGUGGCGGAUUUGAAACCGAGCAGCCUGGCUCCAGAAUCAAAAUGCUUGGCUCUGGAACAUGAUAAUCCUCAUCAGGACCAAUCCUGAUCCAAUACAGUCCAUCUCAUUGAGCACCCAAUUAAACAAGAGAACUGUGGAAAGAGUUGUCAAUUUCAUGCCAUCAUCCAGCAUCUGGGAAGAAGUCAGUUGUGUUCUGCUGUUGCCUAAAAAAGCCUCUUCACACCUCUCCCCAACUCUGCUUUCAGUGACACCACAUUGGGAGUUUGAAAUCAGCCCUAGUGGGAACAUUUACAGCAUAGAAACCAGAAAAUACUCCAAAUCAGGGCUUUUUGUUCCAGAUAGCUGGUUUUCUAGCAGUAUUAUUAUCAUCUACUCUGGAAGGAAUGACUUAUCCUAUUGAUGACUUUGGGAUAAGCAACUGAGCAUGGGUAUGUCAGUCCUUUUCUCUCCCCUCCCUCUGUGUGUGUGUGUCGGGGGGUGGGGUAGGGGGCGUACAGAUAUGGCUGUCUGCAGAUAGCACAUGUUUGGGUCUUCUGUCAGCUAUUUGGUGACUUUGAUAGUAAAUACUCUGCACCAAUGAGGAGAUCUGUCUGGUCUAGCACCACCAGGGACCGGGAGAGUCAAGUUGUGUAUGUCUAGGGAUCAGUAUUAAGUCACUGUCGCCAAGCCAGACCCCAGCUCCUUUCAGUUUUAAAGUCAAAGUUUUGAAUUCUGUCUGACUUCUUAAUUUCUCUCAAUCGGUUCGAAACUCAGACAGAAAGGAGCAUAGAAUUUAUAAGCACCUUUACACCUCAACACAACAUUUUCUCGAGUUUUUUUUUUUUUAAUUUUUAACUUUUUUUUUUGUCUUUUGUCAUUUUUUAGGGCUGCACCCAUGGCCUAU